rnacentral:rRNA from 1 species
UGGGGAAUAUUGCACAAUGGGCGCAAGCCUGAUGCAGCCAUGCCGCGUGUAUGAAGAAGGCCUUCGGGUUGUAAAGUACUUUCAGCGGGGAGGAAGGCGAUAAGGUUAAUAACCUUGUCGAUUGACGUUACCCGCAGAAGAAGCACCGGCUAACUCCGUGCCAGCAGCCGCGGUAAUACGGAGGAUGCAAGCGUUAAUCGGAAUUACUGGGCGUAAAGCGCACGCAGGCGGUCUGUCAAGUCGGAUGUGAAAUCCCCGGGCUCAACCUGGGAACUGCAUUCGAAACUGGCAGGCUAGAGUCUUGUAGAGGGGGGUAGAAUUCCAGGUGUAGCGGUGAAAUGCGUAGAGAUCUGGAGGAAUACCGGUGGCGAAGGCGGCCCCCUGGACAAAGACUGACGCUCAGGUGCGAAAGCGUGGGGAGCAAACA